ACAGAUGGCGCCAGAGUAGACUGGGACUGUCAUUAUGACAGUUUUAUAGAAGGGUUGAGGUUACGUAUUCAGCUUAUUUGUCUCGUUUUAGAGUUGCCUCAUGAUGUAUUGUUUUUGUUCGCGAAAUAUUGUUAGAAAUUUACUUUUGGGUUAAUCGGGGGGUGUCUGUAGUAGGUGAGAUUGGCUUCACGAUUUCGAGAAACGAUUGUUUUUUACGUUGCUUCGAUGAGACCUUGGGGUUAGUGAUGUGGUAUAUCGUGGGGAUACUACGAAAUCAGUUGCUUAAUCAAUUUCAGGGUUAACAUGUUUUCGCGUUAGCUUGUAUGCUAACUUGAACUCAUGUUUUGCAUCGUAUUCGAUUAAUUUUUGGAAAUGGCUCAAUCGAACGCAUCCUUCUGGUACAUGUAGCUCUUUUUUUGCAACGAGACGAUUUCGAAUGCAUUUUAACAAAUGUGGAAAAUCGGAGCACAUCCGCAAUUUUCUUUUUGGAUUAGCAGGAUGAAUUGUCCACGGCGCAUCCGGAUUUUCGGCACUGCAAGACUUCCACAUGUUUCUGUUCCAUGUAGCACCGUCAGAGAACAAGCUUUGCCAAAAUUGGACCACUGACGCUGCCUUUCGACAAAAAGCACGCAAGAGCUUGAAUAUUUUUGCCUACAAACGACUGAAACAUGAAAACGAGGACGUGGUCUCCCAGUUGAUUUUGUUGAUUAUUGGGUGUAUAAUCGCCCAAAUCCACAAACCCUAUUACUUCCAAACGAUUCUUAUCAAAGUGUUUGCUUGGAGUUAUUUUACAUUCAUCUACCAUUAUCGUUCCAUGUCGUUCAAAUUCCGUCAUAUUUUUGGUUUUUUCUUUUAAAAGUUCAAACAAUUUAUUUUGAAAUCCGUAAGCACUGUCGAUGUUCCUGAUGUAAUUAGAUAGAGUACUCGGUGCAGGCAGAGGAAGCAACUCCCUAGUCCUCAUAUGUCGAUAGAGUUUAGGACUUUUAAUUUUCAAAAGAAUACACGUGUAUAUCCAUUCCUUCGAGUAUCUUUUGCCAAAUACAGGACGACCAACAGUUUCAAAACAUGUACGAACCACCAUUUGUUGAUUUUCUGGUAAUUUAUUAAUAAUAUUUUCGAUCUUAUCUUGAUCCUUCAAAAUUUGACUCAUUUCCGUAAUAGUCUUGGUCUGUCUUUUUUCUUUUCUUUUCAGUCGUAAAUAUAACUGCUUUUUAUUCUUUUUACGCAAAUUUGUUUGUAGUGUAGAUUUUGUCUUUCUGUUGAUGUCCCGUAGUAAAUUUUUUCUUAAAGCAGCACAUGUUUUACAUCUUUCUGUUUUCUUUUGUUUAUUUUCACCAUUGCAAAGGUGGCUCCUUUUGUCGCUAAUUCCUGUACCCAAACAUAAAUUAGCGUCCUCUACUCUAUUAACAAUGUUUAGAACGUCUUCAAAAGUUUGUACAGCAUGCACGGAUCGAAAGAUCCCAUUCAAGUAGACAUUGGCAUUGCAGUUGUCCACAACAACAGCUCUAUCGAUUUUGGGAAUGUUUCCCACUACGCGACUUAUAGUUACGAUAUUUGUGUUGUUGUGAACUCCCCAACCUGAUGGCAAUCGCACAUGUAAUUCUUGAAUAUUUUCUUUUAAAGCCGUUAAUACAUGUUUAUCUGAAAAACUUGUUCGGGAAUGGGAGGGUUGAAGGAUUUCUUGAAAUUUUGAAAUUUGCAUGGUUUCAUUUUGAUGUUCUUGGGAUAUAGAUGGAAUUUGUGGGGAUCUAAAACAAUUUUAAUUUAAAUUUUUGUUAUUAUAUUUUUUAUACGUAAUAAAGUAGUAUAGAUGGAGGUUUUGUUGUGUUUUUUGUGGGUACGCACGUAAUGACAGGAUUAAAUGUUUAAUAAGCAUUUUUUACACAUUUAAAAGCGUUAAUCGUGUAGUAUUUUCAACCAGGGACCUGAACCCAAACAAAUUCGGGAUUUCAUGCGGGUUUGGGUUCUAAAUGAGUAAAAACUUUGGGUUUCGUUACGGUUCCAGUUCUAGAUGAGCAAAAAAAUUUUGAUACCAGUCCGAUAGUAAAAAAAAUUAAAUCAAAAUAACGAUUCGGGUUUCAGUUAAGGUUCACAACAUUUAGGUUUGAUUCCGGUUUUCGGUUCUGUAUCGAUUCGGUCCGGAUCCCAAUUUCCAACAAGAGAAAACCAGAAUGUCUGAAGUAGUAAACGUAUUAUAAAGGACUAGGCACACUUCUUAUGGGAAUUUAAGGACCACUCAAAUUGGAUAAUUUUUAUAUCAAUCGAUGCAUCUCAAAAAGCUGAUCAAAUCAUAUCAUUGCGCCAAACGUGUAGCUUGAUUAGGAACGCCAGAAAUCGCGAUUGAAUUUAAAUUAUUCCUAUUGUUGGAGAUAUUAACUCCUGUCCGCUUAAAUCCCUAUUUCCAUAAAAGUGUCUGUUCCCUAUACCUGACCCCCAAUCCAGUAAUUGUUGUAAUACCGCUGUGUUGUAAAUCUCGAAGAUUUACAAGCUCUUUGUACUCACCCAAAAGCCGCCCCAAUGCUUUUCUUAAGGGACAAAUCUUCACUUUGAUUGCAAUUUCCCACGUUCCUAAUUAAGCUACACGUUUGGCGCAAUGAUAUGAUUUGGUCAGUUUUUUAUGAGGCAUCGAUUGAUAUAAAAAUUACUCAAUUUGAGUGGUCCUUAAAUUCCCAUAAGAAGUGUGCCUAGUCCUUUAUAAUUUAUCAAUUUGUCCAGGCCACGCACCUAAGCGUGUGGCGGCUGGCUACUUUAUACAGUUUGUGCGAAGGCCAGUAACUAUUAAGGUUAUCAUUUCGGCCUUAUAAUUUGAAACGCCUCGACUUUUGCAACCACAUGUAAACUUCAACUUAAUGUUUCUCUGAUUUAUAUUGUUUACUCGAAACUGAGUGCGAUAUUAAGAAGAAACGAAAAAUUUUAAUUAAAAAAAGUAGUUCAAAAAGGUGUCAUUCGUUUUUGUAAGAACUCCACAAGAUGCAACCAAAAAUACUCAUUAUACUUACCAUCUACUGGAUACUGCCUUUGAUUUUUAAACAACUAAUUAAAUCAAAAUUAGUUUCUUAUCUUUUAAAUAAUGAGUUUAUAACGUUUAAAAAAAACUGUCAAGGCAAAGUUGACGACAUUCAGGAAUCGUGGAUUAAUUUCGUAACAAUUACAGAUUUGGACAACUGGAAUGUGUCUGGAAUUAGUAAACUAUCUACCAUCCGUAAAACUUGUUGUUUUGUGUUACGUGAUUGAUAUUGACUUAAUGGGAAAAUUAUGCAAACCUUAUUAGGGUUGGGAUUUCGUAAACUCUGGAUGGGAUAAGAACUUGAUCUUGAGUAGGUAUAGUGGACGUGGAAGUGACAGUCCUAUGACAGUCCCAGUCUACCGUGCUGCCAUCUAUCUACUUGCUCCAACGUUAGAUUCAAAUAAAAUGGCGACUCAGUUUACCUGUCUGUCUAAUAU